GUGCUUGCUUCAGCAGCACAUAUACUAAAAUUGGAACAAUAUGGAGAAGAUUAGCACGGCUCUAUGCAAAGAUGACAAGCAAAUUCAUGGUGUUCCCUAUUUUU
rnacentral:snRNA from 1 species